UUCACAAUCUUGACCUUCUUGGGGAGCCAUACAACUCCAUACUCUCAUCCACUAUUCAGUCCCUUGCCCCUUUGUCCUAUUGGUAAUCACAUCUUGCCAAACUUGAAACCUAGAUUACUGCCAUCACCUGAUUCUGUCAUUCUUCUUUAUGUGCUACUCAGUGGACCUAGAAGAGGUCAUUAAACUGUGCUGAUUGGGUCUCCUACAAAUUUAUAUUAUCUAGUCCCUUUGCAUCUGGAUCAAGUCCAAGCUCCUCUAUAUUCAUGCUUUCUCUGCUUCCUGAACAGAACACCACCACCCAGUUCCCCAUCCCUCUUUAGGAACUUGGUUUUUGAUGUCACAUAAGGACAGUUUAUACUUUGUUUCCUGGAAAUUUUGACAUAGAUGGAAACCGAAACUUGUCUGAUUCUAGGAAAUCAGCCCAUUACUGGGCUGUUUGUGAAUGUGUAUUUGUAUGUCUCUAUGAAGGGCUCUGAACACCAAAGAGAGGAUUCUAUAUUAGACCCCUGAGGUGACAGGUAACCUCUGGGGAGUACAGAAAAGAGAUAUGACAUAGUCAGACCUGCAUUUGGAACGAUUACUUUGGUAGCUGAGUGUAGGAUUGGCUGGAGUGAGAAGAGAAAUGAGGCAUGGAGAACAAUCAGAAGAUAUUACAGUAGCCCGGGCAUGAGAUGAAACAUGGGACUAUUACUUCCUGGUUCCUUUUGUGUGAGGGAGAGAAGAAGAAAAGAGAGGAUGAGAGACAAACUGUUUCUCCUAGACUGCUAGACUGGGACCCUCUUAUUGAUUGUGGCUAGAAUAUAAUCCAUAGGAGCCCACACUGAAGUCUUCUGUAAGCUACUGCGAACACUUGGGGCUCAGUUCUAUGCUGAAAGACUUGGCCCAUUGGGAUGUUGUAACAAUCCCUAGGCUUCCAUGUUGGCUGCAGGGGAAGGAGUUGAUUAAGAAAAGACUGGCCACUGAGUCAGGAAGCACUGUCCAUUUAGAAGGAGUAACUCUGCCUUUGGCACUCUUUCUUCCUUUCUGACUCUGGAACUUGAAGCAUGAACUUUUUUUUUUCUGAGACGUCCUAUGGUAGAGUAUAGAGGCACCUUUGCCCACCUGCUAGAAAUGGUGCUUACUUGUACAUGGGUCUGAGCUUGAUGAUUUUUAGCCUGAACCUUGGGCCUCUGGCAGCCAUUUAUUGGAUAUUAAUCUUGAGAUGGACUUCCCAGCCUUAGAGACAACCUUACGAGUUUAAGACAUGGAGAACUUCUGGGUCCCAAAGUUAGUACUAACUCCAGGAUAGUAGGGAAGUAUUCAAUGCAGCUACUUUAGCCCUUCUUGGAGAAGCUGGCCACUGGUCAAGGGAAGAGCUGACUAUCUGGCCAGGCUUACCAGAAGACAUUGAGGGAGACAAUGUGGAAUCUAUGGAGGUGAAAUGCAUCUUCAGUAUCCCUGCAAAAUGCUUCAUGUUUUGAUAUUUUACAUAUCAAGCUUCUAGGAGACUAUUGUGUUUUAAGUUAUGACUUCGUAUUUAAGUCUUCAUCUGUACUCUUUAGUCUUUGGUGGUUUAAGCAUUUCUUUUGUGUGGAAGAAAUAAAUUGCUGUCCUAUGCCUA